rnacentral:rRNA from 1 species
GACGAACGCUGGCGGCGUGCUUAACACAUGCAAGUCGAACGGAAAGGCCCUGCUUUUGUGGGGUGCUCGAGUGGCGAACGGGUGAGUAACACGUGAGUAACCUGCCCUUGACUUUGGGAUAAAUUCAGGAAACUGGGGCUAAUACCGGAUAGGAGCUACUGCUGCAUGGUGGGGGUUGGAAAGUUUCGGCGGUUGGGGAUGGACUCGCGGCUUAUCAGCUUGUUGGUGGGGUAGUGGCUUACCAAGCCUUUGACGGGUAGCCGGCCUGGGAGGGUGACCGGCCACAUUGGGACUGAGAUACGGCCCAGACUCCUACGGGAGGCAGCAGUGGGGAAUAUUGCACAAUGGGCGGAAGCCUGAUGCAGCAACGCCGCGUGCGGGAUGACGGCCUUCGGGUUGUAAACCGCUUUCGCCUGUGACGAAGCGUGAGUGACGGUAAUGGGUAAAGAAGCACCGGCUAACUACGUG